CCUACGGGUGGCAGCAGUGGGGAAUAUUGGACAAUGGGGGGAACCCUGAUCCAGCGACGUCGCGUGAGUGAAGAAGUAUUUCGGUAUGUAAAACUCUAUCAGCAGGGAAGAAAAUGACGGUACCUGACUAAGUCGCCCCGGCUAACUACGUGACAGGUGCCGCAGUUAUACGUCGGGGGCAAGCGUUAUCCGGAUUUACUGGGUGUAAAGGGAGCGUAGACGGUGCAGCGAGUCUGAUGGGAAAGGUCGGGGCCCAACCCCGGGACUGCAUUGGAAACUGUUGAACUGGAGUAGAGGAGAGGUAAGCGGAAUGCGUAGUGUAGCGGUGAAAUGCGUAGAUAUUAGGCGGAACACCAGUGGCGAAGGCAGCUUACUGGACUGUAACUGACGUUGAGGCUCGAAAGCGUGGGGAGCAAACAGGAUUAGAUACCCUUGUAGUC
rnacentral:rRNA from 1 species